rnacentral:rRNA from 1 species
ACGAGCGCACCCUUGAUCUUAGUUGCCAGCAUUCAGUUGGGCACUCUAAGGUGACUGCCGGUGACAAACCGGAGGAAGGUGGGGAUGACGUCAAAUCAUCAUGCCCCUUAUGACCUGGGCUACACACGUGCUACAAUGGGCAGAACAAAGGGCAGCGAAACCGCGAGGUUAAGCCAAUCCCACAAAUCUGUUCUCAGUUCGGAUCGCAGUCUGCAACUCGACUGCGUGAAGCUGGAAUCGCUAGUAAUCGCGGAUCAGCAUGCCGCGGUGAAUACGUUCCCGGGCCUUGUACACACCGCCCGU